rnacentral:rRNA from 1 species
UGGGGAAUUUUCCGCAAUGGGCGCAAGCCUGACGGAGCAAUACCGCGUGAGGGAUGAAGGUUCGUGGAUUGUAAACCUCUUUUUUCAGGGAAGCGGUACCUGAAGAAUAAGCAUCGGCUAACUCCGUGCCAGCAGCCGCGGUAAGACGGAGGAUGCAAGCGUUAUCCGGAAUUAUUGGGCGUAAAGCGUACGCAGGUGGCACAUCAAGUCUGUUGUUAAAGCGCGGAGCUCAACUCCGUAAAAGCGAUAGAAACUGGUGAGCUAGAGUAUGGUAGGGGCAGGAGGAAUUCCCAGUGUAGCGGUGAAAUGCGUAGAUAUUGGGAAGAACACCAGCGGCGAAAGCGUCCUGCCAAGCCAAAACUGACACUCAUGUACGAAAGCUAGGGGAGCGAAUGGGAUUAGAUACCCCAGUAGU